CUUCUGUAUUUGAAUAAAAUGUGCCUUCAAUUCUUUGAUUUUGGCGGCUCAAACCCUAGUGUCCUGCAUACACAUGUGUUCACCGAAACUGUGGAAUUUGGUUAGCAUAAAAAGCCCUAUUUCUAAUGUUUGGUGAUAUUUUAUAGAGUUUGUAUGCAUGUUGGCUGUAUGAAAAUUGUAUUUUAAGAAACGCCAACAAACUCCCCCACACUUAGCCCUUUGCUCGUCCUCGAGUAAAGCUUAUGUUUUUGGUCUAAGAUGGUUCCACUUCUCCUGAUAAUGAACCUGCAUACAAACUAUUCCAAGCCUCACCUGAACUUAUGAGCAUUCAGAGUGUCUACCAAAACAUCUUGAGUAAUUGAAAAAUGGAACAGUUAGGAUUCAAAUCUUCUUACUCAACUUUGCUCAAAACUUGGGUUUUUACCUUUUUGAAUAAAAAUAGUCUUGCUCUUCGGAUGAUACUCUCAAAUCACUUGAGAAUGUUUCUGGUUCCUUACCAAGGUAAAAGUACCUCUUGAUUUGUCCUACCUCUAUAAGCUGUAUUUGGAGUGUUGGGUAUGGACCAAGGAGAAUGCAUACUUACCUUGUAUGUAUUGUUGAGUCAAAUCUCGGAUCCAAGAAGAGAAGUGUCAUACCCUUAGAUCAUGAUGUGCAAGUGUGUGGUAUAUGGUAUAAACAACUCCGUUGGUUGAUAUGAUCUCAUCAAGUAUUUCUAGACAUGGCUAUCAUAACUCUUUUAUUUUCUUGUGAGCCUUUAUGUGCUCAUCUUUUUUUUUAUACUUAGGACCUUCAUGUGUCCUAUAUUUUUUUCAGAUGGGUAUUUUUAUACCCCUAAUUCUACGGCAGGCACUUGCCCUUUUUUUUCUUCUCUUUUAUAUAUAUAUAUAUUUUUUGCAUAGCCCAUGUCUUUAUCUAAGAUGCACUAGAGAGAUCAUUCUUUAAAACAUGGAGUGUUUGUAUGGUGGACAUGUAAGGUAUGUUUUUGCGCACUCCCAGUGUAGAAGCGGCAUAUAUAUGUAUCUGGAGUGUACAUGAUCUUGAUCUUGAGAGCAUGAUAAAUCUCUUAACAAGGGUCAACAAGACUUGACACAACUCAAAAUAAAUAAGCAGCUAUUUGUAGAAUUUUUAUCAAGAGUAAUAUAUUUGGCCUUGGUAGGUAAUUAUCUAUCAUUGAAGAGCAGACUUUUUGCAAUUUUAAUUUUAUCAAAUAAAUCCCGAAGUUCAUUGCAUAAGUGAGCAAGUUUCAAAUCAUCCUACUAUAUCGCAAAUCUCAAUUACUUAGAAGCAAUGGGGUCCUUAUAAAAAGUUGCACAUAAAUGGUAGGCUUUUGGCGAGGAAUAAAGAGUAUGCAUGUUUAAUUUCAAAGGCAGAAAGAAAAUGGAGUAUUCAUUUAUUUUUAUCUUUUUAUUUU
rnacentral:lncRNA from 1 species